GCUUAACUGUCCCUAUUGAGGAGCAGUCUAUUGUUUUUUCCCAUUUAUUUGUGCGUGUUUUGUUGGUUUUCCUUUUUUUUUUAAGGUCGGUACUUUUUUUCCCAGGGAAAACUGCCUGUUCUUUCCCUAAAACAGUGCCAAGGGCAACACCACGUCUCUUACCAGGGUCUGCAUGACAGGACAGAGGGAAACAAAUUCAUUCUUCAAAUGAAAAGAAGGUUCAUCUCAAACACCUCCUCACCUGACAUCACUCCCAAAUACUUCUAUGUUUUAUCCCAAUGUCCCCAGCUGGUGUUGAGGGUUUGAACUGCACACCAUUAUGAAGAAAUGUGAGUCUGUGGAUCAAUUUAUUCAACAACAUGAAGUCAUUACUAAAUACUUAUUUGAUAGUCUUCAGAUAUUGUUCUCAGAGAUGCCAUGACAUGCUAGCUGUAGAGGAAUUGGUACUGAAGGAAUGGAGAGGCAGAAUGGAAUGGAAUGGAAUGGAAUGGAACGGAACGGAACGGAACGGAAUGCUCAGCCUUUCUGUCUGCCUUAUUAUUGAUGACUUUUUCAACUCAGCAAUGUGUUUAAGAAUGAAGCAAUCAAAAGUUAUGUGUUUUGUUUGCAUAAUAUGUCCCACAAUCAUACAAAGCACAAAAGCUCUUCAGGAGUGGGGUCAGGACCUCUGCAUUGUGCUCAUAGUUUCAUGUGAGUCACAUAACUAUUACACAAACAACAUACUUGCACCUCCCUCUCCAAAACCAGAAUGGGAGAACAGAAACAUGAAUGCUGUAGUCCAAGUGAACAGCACUCAGAGUGCCUUGUUUGUUUGGGGGAUUUUUUUAAUUGCUGUACAUGCAUGUUGUAUUGUUCCUUAAACACUACUAAGUUAGCAAGGCAACACCCACUGCAUUAAGUGGCAUCGGUGGGCUUCAUUUGAUGACUGACAACUUGAAAGACCAACAAUUGUCAUCCCAUUGACUGAAAGCAAUUAGUACAUGUGAAUGCCCUGUUUUAAAACAGUAAAAACUUCUUUAAAGCAACACAGUUCAGUUGUCUACACUGCAAAUUCAGUGCAAAUGUUGGAUGCUGAGUGCCCUAAAAUGAAAAAUGCUCGAUUACUGUUCCCAUGAGCUUAAGGUACUCAUCCACAGCAACUCUGGAGUCAAUGGGGAAACUAGAAGUUACCUUCAGAGAAAGCAUAGUGUUUAAGCUGGGUUCCAGCAGACAGAAAAGAGUCAAUCGCAGCCAAGUGUUGGAACGAAGAAUGUGUGAAAUUGUUCUACAUUUCCUUAGGGCCUGGAAUUACGCUGGAGGGAAGCAGCCCAGGUAGCCAGGGCGUUGUAGAGAGCUCGUUUCAUUUCCUUGCUUCAAGCCAAGGAUGCACGACAUCAGCAUGGAAGGAAGGAAGAAAUCAAGUUGGGAAUUGGCAGAGAUUACAUUUUUGGCUGUGAAUACCAUCAUCAGUCAUCAGCAAUAUGGAACUUCACUGGAAGAUCUUUGCUUUCAGACAGCGGAAUUCCAAUGACAAACCCUUAACUUUUCCCACCAAUGGCACUGCCAGCGUGAGUGACAUUUCAGGAGAAAAAUCAUCUUUUAUUCACGGCUGCUUCCUGACUACGAGACGUGCUUUUAUUAAUGCUCAGUAAUUAAAUAAUGCUGCUCCGAGGCGGAGGCACCACCAGGAACAC
ensembl:lncRNA